rnacentral:rRNA from 1 species
CGUGGAGACAGGUGGUGCAUGGCUGUCGUCAGCUCGUGUCGUGAGAUGUUGGGUUAAGUCCCGCAACGAGCGCAACCCUCACCCCUAGUUGCCACCGGGUAAAGCCGAGCACUCGAGGGGAACUGCCAGCGUCAAGCUGGAGGAAGGCGGGGAUGACGUCAAGUCAUCAUGCCCCUUACGCCCUGGGCUACACACGUGCUACAAUGGCCGGUACAAAGGGACGCGAGACUGCAAGGUGGAGCUAAUCCCAAGAAACUGGUCUAAGUUCAGAUUGCAGUCUGCAACUCGACUGCAUGAAGGAGGAAUCGCUAGUAAUCGCGCAUCAGCACGGCGCGGUGAAUACGUUCCCGGGCCUUGUACACACCGCCCGUCACACCACGAAAGCUGUCUGUACUCGAAGUCGCUGAG